UAUGGGGCAGCUAUGGGGCAGGGUUAUAGGGCAGCUAUGGGGCAGAUGUGGGGUAUCUAUGGGGUAUCUAUGGGGCAGAUAUGGGGCAGCUAUGGGGCAGCUAUGGGGUGUCUAUGGGUCACUAUGGGUCUCUAUGGGCCUCUAUAGGGCAGCUAUGGGUCUCUAUAGGGUCUCUAUAAGGCAGCUAUGGGUCACUAUAGGGCUCUAUGGGUCUCUAUGGGGCAACUAUGGGUCACUAUAGGGCUCUAUGGGUCUCUAUGGGGCAGCUAUGGGUCACUAUAGGGCUCUAUGGGCCUCUAUGGGGCAGCUAUGGGUCUCUAUGGGUCACUAUGGGUCUCUAUGGGGCAACUAUGGGUCACUAUAGGGCUCUAUGGGUCUCUAUGGGGCAGCUAUGGGUCACUAUAGGGCUCUAUGGGGCUCUAUGGGGUGUCUAUGGGGCUCUAUGGGGUGUCUAUGGGGCUCUAUGGGUGUCUAUGGGGCUCUAUGGGGUGUCUAUGGGGCUCUAUGGGGUCUCUAUGGGGUGUCUAUGGGGCUCUAUGGGAGGCAGGGGGGCAAUAUGGGGUGUCUAUGGGGCUCUAUGGGGCUCUAUGGGGAUCUAUGGGGCUCUAUGGGGUGUCUAUGGGGCUCUAUGGGGUGUCUAUGGGGCUCUAUAGGGUGUCUAUGGGGCUCUAUGGGGUGUCUAUGGGGCUCUAUGGAGUCUCUAUAGGGUCUAUGGGGUGUCUAUGGGGAUCUAUGGGUGUCUAUGGGGUUCUAUGGGGCUCUAUGGGGUCUCUAUGGGGCUCUAUGGGGUGUCUAUGGGGCUCUAUGGGUGUCUAUGGGGCUCUAUGGGGUGUCUAUGGGGCUCUAUGGGUGUCUAUGGGGGCUCUAUGGGGUGUCUAUGGGGUUUAUGGGACUCUAGUAGGGCUUCGGUAGGGCUCGUAUGGGGUACUAUGGGAUUCUUUGGGGCCUCUAUGGGCUCUAUGGAGUUCUAUGGGGCAUAUGGGGCUCUAUGGGGUGUCUAUGGGGUUCUAUGGGACUCUAUAGGGCUCGGUAGGGCUCUAUGGGGUAUCUAUGGGAUUCUUUGGGGCUCUAUGGGGUCUCUAUGGGGCUCUAUGGAGUUCUCCGGGGCUCUUAAUGGGGCAUAUGGGUCUCUAUGGGGGUGUCUAGGGGUUUCUAUGGGACUCUAUACGGGCUCGGUAAGGGAUCUAUGGGGUAAUCUAUGGUGAUUCUUUGGGGCUCUUAUGGGGUCUCUUUGGCUCUAUGGGCCUCUAUGGGGUCUCUAGGGCUUUAUAGGUCUCUAUGGGGUUCUCGUAUGGGGUUGCUAUGGACGCUUUAUGUCGGGCUCUAUGUGGGCCGUCUAUGGGGUGUGUUCUGGGGUUCUAUGGGGGCUCAUGGGUGUCUAUGGGGGGCUCUAUGCGGGUGUCUAUGGGGCUCUAUGGGGUGUCUAUGGGGCUCUGUGGGUCACUAUAGGCUCUAUGGGCAAUAUGGGGUCUCUAUAGGGCUAUGGGGGCUCUAUGGGGUGUCUAUGGGCUCUAAUGGGAUCUCUCUGGGGCGCGGAAUGGACGGAUGUUCGUUGCAACAGAAGGGCGGCCGUCAACCAGUGCCUGCGCACCUUACAGUGGGUCAAUAAUUGAGGUUAUGGGGUUCUAUGGGGCUCUAUGGGACAAUAUGGGGUCUCUAUGCGGCUCUAUAGGGUCUCUAUGGGGGCAGGGGGGCAAUAUGGGGCUCUAUGGGACAAUAUGAGAUCUCUAUGAGGCUCUAUGGCAUCUCUAUGGGGGCA
rnacentral:lncRNA from 1 species